UACGUAGGGUGCAAGCGUUAAUCGGAAUUACUGAGCGUAAAGCGUGCGCAGGCGGUUCUAUAAGACAGAUGUGAAAUCCCCGGGCUCAACCUGGGAACUGCAUUUGUGACUGUAGAGCUGGAGUACGGUAGAGGGGGAUGGAAUUCCGCGUGUAGCAGUGAAAUGCGUAGAUAUGCGGAGGAACACCGAUGGCGAAGGCAAUCCCCUGGACCUGUACUGACGCUCAUGCACGAAAGCGUGGGGAGCAAACAGG
rnacentral:rRNA from 1 species